UCUCCUCAGCCAAUCGAGCGGCACUAUCCCAUGUUAAUUCCACCAAGAGACACACAAGGAGCGCUAGUUUAAUGUGCACAUCUGCCAGAGGGGACGUGCCCUGUCCUUUGUGGUUUGAUAAUUUCUUUCCUCUCCUUCUGUGAUCUGUGUUUCACUGCUAUCCUGUGUGGUGGGCAAGAGGAGACCGAACAUAGGACACUUCACUCCAAAAUAGAUCACUGACUGAGAGAAAAAAGGGAAAUUAGAGUACCUCAUUUGUUUCCAGAGAAUUGGACUGGACUUUGGGCAAUGACCAGCAUCAACGCUCCCGCGUGCCUGGUUGCGCGUAAUCAGUUCUACAGAAACCAUGGUCCGUCAACCUCAGGGAAACCUGCUUAUGAUCAUUGUGCAACACAACCAACACAAAGACAAGUAACGGUUUGGGUGACCACAUCCACUCAUCAAGGUCUACCUGUAACAAUGGCGCGAGGAUGGUGGAUCAGUGUGAUUUUGGGCAAUCCAUCGCCUACAACUAAACGCCUGAAUCCAACUGAAAGGGUGGUGAAGUAGGAGAGCUUUCCAUAAACCAAUGCAGUGGGAAUCCGUACAAACGGGGACAAUACUAAGUACCCUGUCCCCACUUUUUACAAGCGGGGGGGAGAAAAGAGAAAAGGCCUUUUAAAAAAAUCUAAUUUAACCUAAAUGUCCCCUCUGUUGCUGUUGCUUUGCCUCAGUUUCAAAACCCUGAGCCAGAUUCUUCAAUUGCAUGCACAUGCAACAGAGGAAAAGUAAACUGUAUUUUUUUUUUCUCCCUUUGGACUGUUGCCAUGCUGCUGCUGGGAACUUUUUUUUUCACGCACGUAUCCAAUCAGAGUCACUGAAGCCCUCCCGAGGGCCUCUCUCUUCCAUCCCAGGACCUGUUGCUAGGAAGAGGAGGGGCGUGUGGAGCAGAAAAGAGUCAGCACUUGAGAGAAGCGUAUGGCAUUCCCUCCGCUGAGCAGUGACCUGGAAACAAUGCGCUAGAAGCACAUCUUGUAAUGAAAUGGUGAAUCAUUUCAAAGCCUGCGGGCAAGGCUUCUUUGUACUGUUGUUUACGCGCCUCGUUUUUUGUUUUACGUGUUCUGUCGAAGAUGACUGAGCACUGCCUCUCUCAUUUAUAUAAGAAAUUCCAGGCAGCUGGCCUCCUCGUCGGGAGUUCAGUCUUGACCUGAAUUCCAUUGAACCGUGUGUGUUUGAAACCUUUUUUGCCAAUACAAAUUGGAUGAAUGUUGUACAACUUAAUGUAGCAAUUGCUGAUUUAUUUUUCAUAAACUUGUGUAAUUGCAUUA